rnacentral:lncRNA from 1 species
UAUAGUGUUGUGAAACCUAGAGUGUUUUAUCUCAUUUAACAUUGAACUACGCUUUCAAGGAAAAACCUUCAUUUGACAUCGAACUAUGCAUGCAGGGCAAACACCCCGUGCUUCGGUGCCACCGCGCCGCGAACCCUGGGAGCUUGAACCUGGAUGGGUGUGAACUUCAGAUUGAUGUCAAGGUUAGGGGUCAGUCAUGGAUAGAGAAUAAAGGGGACUUUGCAAAACUGUUAUUAAUAAUAUGGAUGAAACAUUGCCUUGUGGAGAGAAUAAGAUAUUUCCAGAGAUAUUUAUAAAUGGAUGCAUACUUGAAAUAGCAGUACAAAAUAUGAUGCUAACAUUUUAUUUUCAUUGUUGUUCCCAUUAAACUUCUGGUGGUGGCUCCAUUAUUCACAGCCUCGCACAUGAAAAUGUUAUUUCGUUCGGGUAAAUGUUGCGUGUCGUUGCUCCUGUAGUUUUGCGGUUUGCAUCUCCUUGAAACUUGUGAGUUGGAUUUUUCGAAGUUGCAAUGCAAAUUUGCGAUGCAGGGAAGAUAAUAAACAAUGCUUUCUAAGAGCAUUGGAUAUUGGAUGCGACUCAGAAAGAACGGAACGCAUGCAGAUGCAAGAUGCAAGACGUAGUAGGCAGUAGGCACAUGUCCAGGUUUAUUAAGAGCAUCUACACCGGACGCCUCAUAUCUGCCACAAACGCCAGGCCGAGCUUCCCGGUCAUUACUAGGACGCAAAAUUGCCACCCAACAGGAUCUGUCAAACCCGGCCCAAACGUCUAGACAUGACCGCAUUCCCCAUAUCCAGCCCAUAUCUCGGACGGAUAUGUGGAAGCCCAGAGGCGCUCGGACACACCUUCCAGGUAGGAUCCGGCCGAGUGCGGCCCACCCGAUCCCACAUAAAUUGGACCCUAUCCACACUCCGAGCGAAACCCAAGUGGCAUUCAACUCCACUUUACUCCUCGCCAGGCCACUCCCGUCCACCCACAAGCCCCAUUUGCGGAUCUCCCACCAUUUCGAGCCGUUGAACCGGAGAUCGUCCAACGCGGCCCCAAGGAGGAGAUGGUCGACUGCCUUGCGCUUCUCCACUACCGGAGGUGUCCGCCUGGCCGCGGUCGAAAUCCAUCUGGCGGGAAUCCAUUGCGUCUGCCACAAUGGAGCAUGGAUCCUGCCCGAGGGCAGUCGCCGCUGCCUUAGCAGAGGCAGUGCAGUCCGUCUGGCGUCCGAACGCCAUGGAGGAUACGCGACCACUUUGUUGGCGCACUGAGAAAGAGAUGCACACCUGCUUAACGUCUGAUACAAAUAUGGUGUGGCACAUCCACUGUGUUAGGCAGUGGGCACAGGAGCCUGCGGCAGCCCUCGUGCCAGAUGGCAGCGGGGCAGACUCACACUCUUCGAUGCCUCGUAUCGUGCCCGGCAGCCCUUGGCGCCGAAAUCAUGUCGUGUUGGACGCGGCCGGCUCCACCAUCAUGGAUCAACUAUCGACCUCACAUCCACCGAUGACAUGAGGGCAUGGGCUCCGACGAGAAAGAGUAGGCCAUGGGAGAUGGCGCCGACUCGAGUUUCUUUUGCAGGGUCGUGUCCCAUGUCCUACUCUACCUCACCGGAGACUGACCCUCCACUUCGACAGGCUCAGACAGCCAUCGGACAUGGACAGGUUCGGAACGACAAGGACAGUCGCUGGCGCAAAUUUAGACUACAGCCGUCGACGCGAGGUGAGCGCGCCACGAGUUAAUCGCUGAAGAGGUUGGGCCGUUCUGUCGCCGGUGGUCAUACAGUUGCCGACGUAGUCGUCCAUGACCACCAGAUCAACGCCGCCGCCACUGCAAGUCUAGGCAUCUCUAGUGGUUGAUGUCAUUUUAGUGUAUUUUCUUUGUAUUGUGAUGAUUGCAUACUGUGUUGCAUAUUGUGGCGUAUUUUCUUUGUAUUGUGAUGAUUGUAUACUGUACAAUGUAUUGUGGCAUAUUUUUUGUGGUCUAUUUUUGAAAAAGAAACUAUAAAUAGCUAAAAGUGGUGUGCAGAAUAAAUUUGUACCCGCCACUACAAAACAAAUGCCAGUACUGACAUAUAUUUUUGCCCACCAUUAAUAGUAAUGCCCGCCACUGCUACAAGAUCGAGGUCGAUGGCGGGCUGUUUGUAACGCCCGCCACUGUUAUAGUCAUUUGUGGCAGGUGGAGCGCCCACCACUAAUGCCAUGUUGCCAGUGGCAGGCGCCUCUAAGAGCCUUACCCGUCAUUGGUAGGCUUUUGAUGCCACCACUGCUACGCAUUCCUGCGAUAGUGUGCAAUUGCGUAUCUAGUAGAACAUAUAUAACUAUCGUCCCAACAAACAGUUUCGUCCUACCAUGAAGUUAUAGUCGGGUUGAAGACAUUCAUUUAUAAUCGGAAGUGACGUUGCAGUUGCAUAUCAAGUAGGAGAUAUUUAACUACCCUAAUGACAAAACACUUUUGUUCCCUAAAUUACAGUCGCAUUGGAGACAUGCAUUAGCGAAACGACACCACCUGUAGUUGUGUGUUUGGAGUUAGACAUGCAACUAGCUCCACAAUAAUAAUCUGAAUUUUAAGUUUUAAUGAAUUUUAAAUUAGAGAAAAAAGAAAAGAUGAAGAUAUAAAUGCAGAAAUAGAGAAAACAAACAAUAGGAAAAAUCCUAAAAAAGGCAAAAACAAAGAAAGGAAAAACCUGUUUGAAGUUUCUAGAAGCUUCAUAUAACCAGUAGAAAGAGUCCUACAUGGGGCGGCCCACUCACACAUGUAAAAAGAGGCGGGCGAGGCGUAUGUCGACUAGCUCAGAGUUGGGGAAUCCUAUUCCGUGCAUAGUCGCUACGUAGCGACCAAAGGCGUACCCCUCGGGUUUGUGGUCCUCUUCGGGUCGGUCCAUUCCAGGUUCUUCCGCAUACUGGUGCUUAGGAAGGUUCUAGACCUUUUUUUCUAUUUUCUUUGUUUUCUUCUAGUUUUUUCUUUCUUUUAUAUUUUAGUUAUUACUUCUUAUUUUCUUUUAUUUUAAAUUUUCCGUUUUGGUAUUGCAAACAUAUUUUCAAAUUCAUAAAUGUUUAUUGAAAUCGCUAACAGUUUUUGAGUUGACAAACAUAUAUCUGAAAUAAUGAACAUUUUCUAAUUCGACAAUACAUUUUGAAAUCACAAAAUAACAAAAAAAUAACUUUUGAGGACAUUUUCAAAAAAUUCUGAACAUGUUCGUCAAUCGGCCGACAUUUUUUGAAUCGAUGAACAUUUCUAUGAAUUGACAUGAUUUUUUUGAAUCGAUGACCAUUUUUUGAAUCAAUGAAUAUUUUUUACAUGAAUGAACAUUUUUUGAAAUUCACAAUAAAAAAAUUUGUGAACAUUUAAAAAACUUGUUGAAUAUUGCUUGUAUCUCAACUUCCGUCCUGAUUAAUUAAAUAAAGUGGUGAUACCCAUCAAAAGAAAAUAGCUACGGUUGGCACAAAAUUUACUGCAAAUUAAUCAUGUGAUGAAAGACUUAGACGUGACAUAGUUUUUAUGUACCCUGAUAAGUGCCACACGUCAGGGUCGUUCUCAUGACAACUUUGAACAUUUUUUAUGACAAGUUUAGUUGCACGAGGAUGGCAAAUUUAAUUGACAAGCAUGAAAACUUUCGUGCUUUAUUUUAUUUUAAUAGAAACUUGUCGUGUGUCAUUGAAAUUUGCCAUCCUUGGAUGACAAGAAUUGCCAUAAAAAAAGUCAGGCCCAAAGUGCAAAGCACCUGACGUGUAAGACCUAUCAUUUGGAUACUUUAUAUCUAAGAAUUACCAUAAAAAAAGUCAGUCCCAAAGUCUUCAUGGUUACCUACGUGGAGCACCUUUUGUUCUAGAUCGCGAACUUCUUCAUGUGCUUGCACCGAAAGGGGUAGGUGAAACGUUUCAUGGAGUGAGGUAGAUCCCAAGAAAUCUGUGACUGAAAUAUCCUCAUUUAUUGCAAAGGAGAAGGCCCACGCGUAUUAUUCCGCCAGUGUAGUGCCUAACCAUAUAUCCUUCCACAUAAGUACCGUGUCUCCAACGUGCACAUUUUCUUUAGAUAUCCCUCUGUAGAUUGGGGUGAGCUUUAGCACAUCCUUCCACCAAAAAUAUCUGCACGGUUCCGACACGUGCGGGAUCUUGUGCAUGUAAUAUGUUGUCCAGAUCAAAUCCACCCAGGGCAGGUCAUGGUGGUUGUAAAAUUUAUGCAGAUAUUUGAGAAAGAGGGCCUCACUUUGGAUAUGGAGAUUGAUUAUGCCAAGUCCACCACUUUGUUUUGGUUGACAAACCAUGUCCCAAGCUGCCAAUGAGUUACAUUUAUCCCCUUGCUCAGUCUUUUUUGUCCAAAGGCACUUCCUUCUUAUGUUAUCAAGUAGCUCUAAUAUCUUUGGUGGGAAUUUGAGAGUGCAGAGAGCAAAGAUGGUGAGAGAUGUAAUCAUCGUGUUGAGGAGUGACAGUUUUGCAUCGUAUGACGUCAAGGCUAAAGUGCUGGUCAUUCUUCGUUCCAUCGUGCAAACAAGAGGCAUGAGAUCUUGGACCGUAGGCUUGGUUAUUACGAGAGGCAGUCCCAAGUAAGUGAAGGGCAUAGAUCCUACCUUACAGCUAAAGAUAGAAGCGAUGUCGUUGUAACAAUCGGCAGCACAAUUAAUUGGGAUUGAUGUAGACUUGUGGAAGUUUAUCUUUAAUCCAAUAGAAGCAGCGUAGUCUGAGAGAAUAUCCUUGAUAGUCCUUGCUUGGUUGGGGCAAGCAGGGAGUAUAAUGAUCGUAUUGUCGGCAUAUUGGAUCACUGGAUAAUCAUGCUGGUUUUGUCUUUGGAACGGAAGCCGUUUUUUUCCUUGUCGGAAAGUGUCAUUAAUGGAACCUUGAAUAAGGUCAGCUGCGAGCACAAAAAUGAGGGGUGAUAAAGGAUCACCUUGACGAACACCACAUUUGCAGAUGAAUUGCCGGCCUGGUACACCAUUUAACAGGACCGAUGAUUUUCCCGAGGCGAAGAUGCAUUUGAUCCAAUCAAGCCACUUGGCAUCAAACCCCAUGUAUUCCAUAAUUGUAAUCAUUGCAUCAUGCUCGAUCAUGUCAAAGGCUUUUGCAAAAUUUAGUUUUAGCAGGACAAUAUUUUGUUUUGGGGUUUGACACUGAUGGAUGUACUCGAAAGCCCAGGCCAAACAGUCUUGUAUUGAUCUUCCUUUGAUGAAGCCAUAUUAAUUGCGAUGAACAAUUUUAAGUAUGAGCUUUUGGAGCCGCUUUGCGAGCAGUUUAGUGAUAACCUUGAGGCAGAAGUUGAGCAAAGUAAUUGGUUUGAAAUCAGAAAUUGUCUCAGGUGACCGAACUUUGGGUAUGAGUGUGAUAAAUCCCACAUUAAUGCUCUCAAGAUUAAGUCCGCCCUCAUAGAAUUGAUUGCAUAGCUCAUAAAAAUCCUCUUUAAUUAUGUUUCAACAUUUUUCGGAAAUAAGCCAGUGAAUCCAUCCGGACCAGGUCCUCUGUCAGCCAGCAUUUCCUUGAUGAAAGCAUCGAUUUCAUCCUUGGUGAAAGGGACAGUCAAUUGAUCCACACCCUCAACUUUCUUGAUGAUGCUUUGUAGGUUGAAUUUCAUUUGAAACUCUCCAGAUUUUCCAAGUCUUUCUUUGAACGGUUGGUAUAUGAUCGCCUCUUUACUAGCAUGAUCUUCUGCCACUGUGUCAUCAGAGAGUUUCAGUGUUGGAAUUGUGUUGCGUCUGUAUCUUUCUGAGGCCAUUGACUUUAAAAAUUUAGGGUCUUCAUCACCCAAUUUCACCCAUCGAAUGGUGCAUCUCUUUUGCCAGUAUUGUCUUUGGUAGUUCAAGAGGCGUAAAAUGUGUUUAUUCAGAAUUUUCCUAAAAUUAUGUUCUGGAGUAGAAAGGAUUCUAAGAUUUUUUAGGGCAUCUAGAUUGGCCAGGGCAAGAUUAGAGUUUUCAAUUGCCACCUUAAGUUUAGAGAUACGUUUGCUCCACCUUUUCAACUCAUAUCUAAAUGCUUUGAACUUUUUGCAUAGUAAAGUGGCGGCAUUUGUAUUGGCAUGUUUUAAUGGUCUUGUCCACACAGAUUGAACCAAAUCCAUAAAACCCGGGUGCUCCGUCCAAUAAGACUCAAAUCUAAAGAUAUUGCUGCGAGGGAUGGAGGUUUCAAUUUUGACAACACACGGAAUAUGAUCAGAAACUGGUUUCCCUAGUGGCAUAACUAGAGUGUUAGGGUAACACAAAGUCCAGUUGUUAGACGUGAGAAACCAGUCUAAUUGCUCAAGGAGGGGGGGGUCUGUCUGCAUGUUGCUCCAAGUGUAAUCACGACCCUCAAUUGGAAGUUCAAUUAAUUACUAAGAGCGGAUGAUGUCAUUAAAAGCAAUCAUGUCAUUAGGAUUACCUCUAGGUUUAUUUCUGUUAUCAGGGCUACGAAUAUAGUUGAAGUCUCCUAGCAACAACCAAUCUUCAUUGGAGGGGAUAUUUAGAGUAUGAAGCCAAUUAGUGUAAGUCACUCUCGGGUCACCCUGACACAGGCCAUGUAUAUUCACCAGGGUCCACUCUUAGGCCGAUUGUGUGGAACAGAAUUUGAUGAAAGAACCAUGCCAUGAGAACUGUUCCUGUGAAAAUGGCAUUGUUCCAAAUGGCGGCAAUGCCUCUUGAAGCACCCUGGGAGGGGAUGUAUGCAAAUUUAUAAAAUCUUCUUGGACAACAAGACUUCAGGAACAAGUUAUCAAUGACAGAUUUUUUUUGUUUCUUGCAGACAGAUGACUGCACAGCCACUGGAGGAGAUAGCAUUUGAGAACGCCAAAAGCUUAGGAUCAGAGUUUAAGCCUCUUACAUUCCAGCACAAAAUAUUCUAGCUCGAUAAAAGUGCCAUGAUAAAAUAGAGCAAAUUAAAAAACAACUAAAAUAAAGCGAGGAAAUAGCUUAAGCAUUGGAGGGGCCGUCCUCAGCUUCAGCCAUUAGAGCUUCAGAAGUAACUUCUUCUGGCGGAAUGGCGCACUUGAUGAUCCCAAUGUGUUGCAGCACUUGAACAGGAGUAGGUGGAGGGAUAUUGUCCUCGUUCAGUGAGUCAGGAACAACUUGACCUGCUUGGGCACCAGCACUAGGGACAAUUCUUGGCUUGACUUUGGAAGGUUUAGCCUUGCUGUCAGAAACUGAUGGUAUCUUGAAACCAUCAUACUUAUUAGAGCGGCUACUGUGACGAACCUCAACCACAGAUGCUGGUGCUUUAGCUUUGCCCCUCCUGAUUAUUGAUUUCCCUGAGCUCAUAGCGUCACUUGCAAUAAAGCCAGUGGAUUCACUUGCAUCAGAACUAGAAGAGGUGGUCAUUGCAUCCAAUGAAAGUGUUGUUGCACCUUGAACAGGUAAGUCCAUCUCAUCCAAGACUUCUGUGAUGACAACAUUGUAGUUGGAAGUCCUUGGUAUGACAGCGAGAUCAUUUGUUGGCUGAAGAGGGUUAUCCCCACAGGACAGGGCCCAAGAACUACUGCCAGGGAUCAUCUCAGUGACAUAUACUGAAUCUGCAGUAUGUUGGACGGUUCUGGUGGAAGACAGAAUAGAGAACUGUCCCUCUUUCUCAGCAAUGCUAACAUUAAAUUGCACUGAAAUGUCACAAAAUCCAAACCCCGAGCUCCACGGGCCAUAUGCAUCUAUAAUAGGCCUAAUAGAAGCUAGGAGGUAAGUGUUCAGCCUCAACAUUGGCACACAAUCAUUCAGAAGCAAAGAAGCAUUGGUGUUCUCAGGAGAAAGCAUAGAAAGUUGCAGACCAACAUAUGAAAUAGACAGUGACAUUUCCAUGGGUGUUACCUCCUAGGCGGUCACAAGAUUGUACGUGAUAAAACUCAGCUCGGAAUCGAUGAUCUGGUGUCUUUCCUAUGCUUGUGGCCCAGCUAACAAUCUCGACAUCUUCUGUACUGCAUCAGGUGAUGCAUGAGGUAGAAUCCAUCAGUCCUACUGGUGUGCGGUUGCUGGAUGCGGCAGAAGUCGGUCUUAUGGCGGAAAACCAGCCCGUUCUUCAUGUGCCUUUUCACCUUGAUAUAUCCACCAGAUAGGCUAAAGGUUAAUAGGGCACUAUCAAGAACACUCUUUAUGUGCAAGUAAUCCUUUUUCUGGAGGUUCUUCGAUGAGUCCAAGUACAUAGCAUGGGAGUAUUACGGGUACAGAACGAUGAGGACGGCGCCGCCCCCGCUGCGCGAAUUAAGUACACCUCAAAUUUGCCUCCAUGCUUGCAAAGGAACGAUUAACACGUACGAAAGCAUAUGCGCGGAUGACUUACUAGGGAUGAUAAGGCAGGAGAAUCGCUUCCUUGUGCUUAUUAGCGAUCAUGAAUUCACCGACAUAGUUGCUCGCAUAGUCACGGUGCUCUUUGCAAACUGCCAAGAAGCUCUCUGCAUAUAGUAUGGGUCCGCGACGCAGAUAUAUUUUAUGUUCUCGAUCUUGAUGAAGUAGUUGAGAUACAACACAUACACGCGGAUGAACUGGAAAUUCAGCUUGGUUGUGUGGAACAUGUCGUAGAUGUAGUCAAAUCGCAGGAUGAACUGAUUCGCGGGCCAGGUCUCGACGUACAACUUCCCACCCGGCACCUGAGCCAUGUAAAGCGGGUAUCCUGGUUCUUUCGCGAUCAGAAGGCUUUUCUCUCCAGCCAACACAUCUUCAUGGAGUCUCUUUAGAUCAUUAUUCAGUAAGAGAUCUAGCGCUUUGGUAGGUAGGAUCGGCUCGCCGGCGACAUGGAAACGCGUCUUACCUUCGCAGGUAUUCUGUCUACCACCCGGGCCUUCAGAGGCGGCUGGCUUCUUGAAGCACCUAUGGCGCCUUUAGGGCCUUUCCUGGGCGGUCUCUUCAUUUGCUUCUUGGCGGGUGGCUGUAGUGAGCCCACCAUACCUUCCCUAACCACCACCCCUAGUGUCAUCGGGCUAAUCAGUGGACGGGCCUCGGGGGGUUGCUGGGUAGAGGCGGCAUCUGAAGGCGUUUCCUGCGAGGAUGGCUUGAAGAGAGACUUUUUGCAUUCCGCCGUAGGACGUUCUGGCUCCGGCAAAUCAGGCAACAUCAAGUCAUCAUCUCCAUGCUCAUAGCCUGAGUCUUCAUCGUCCUGAGCCAUCAAUCCUCCAUCACCAUAGGCGGUAUUUAAAUACUUGUCUGCGUCAUCAUCAUCCUCCAUAUCAUCAUUAGCAUUUGCUUCUUUGACAGUGGGGGCGACAUGAUUUGGCACUAAUCGAGGCUCUCCCUCGCGUCAUACGCUACCAUCCGCCACGACAGGUGCAGGUAAUUUGAUAGGUGGGCUGGUGUUCAUACCUUCUUGAGAAGGUGGCGUUGGCGUGAUACUGGGCGCCUCAAGACGAAGAAGAGACUUCGGCCAAGGCAAGAACCAGCUCUUGCAUGCGCCAACCAUCUUAGGGUUCUCGUUGUCGUCAUCGACUGGUACCGGAGGAGGCAAAUCCUCGAAGCCCGCUAAGACACUGGCCACGUUAACCUUGAAGACUCCAUCGGGCAUCUCUCGGUUGUGGAACAUUCGGUACUUCGGCUUCACGAUCGUUGCCUUUCCCACAGCCACCUUCUGGCCCUUGAUGUCGUAGAGUAGGGUGCAUGGGGUAUCGUCGGCCUACGAAGGAGACAUGUCUGCGACGUCAAACAUCUGAAAGGCAACAGAAAUGAAAGACUAUAGACAUGCUGGUGAAAAGGGUAUGACGCGUAAAUACCGUGAGGUCAUCGAGCUCAGCCAGCGACGAAGGCCCGCCGAGCAUGCGAGAGACGGAGGUCGGGCUGCUAUGAACAGGAACGGGACCUUUUGCGGUUGCUUGGGCAGGUGUUGGUGCUGUGGUGUUUGCCGAAUUGCUGCCGAUAAAGCUAGGAAGGGGAAAGUCCUCCGGCCGUGCAUUUGGACUGCUCUUCGACGAAUCGAAAAUUGCCGGAAUCAAGCUGGCCACCGCGUCAGUGACCAACCCAGUGACCACCCCGAGCAACUCUUCUUUGAUCUCAGCUUUGGUCUUAUUAACCGCAAUCACGACCUUCUCAUCGAUGCUCUGCUGAGUGACGACCAACCCAUCCUUCUUUCCUCUGGCUCCUCGGGGUAGCACGUCCUCCAUGAGGCGCCAUCUCUGAUAUCGUGCACACGUCCAUAGGACGGCGGCUUGUCCACCGGGACCUUUUUCAGUAUGUUUAGGGCCCGGUUGAAUGGGGUGUCGCACUUGGGCCUCGCCGACGACUGUGACGACUCGUCGCUUUCGGCCGCCUUUUUGGUGCUGCUCUUUCUGCAAAAGGAACGUGGAUGGUUUACUAUUGUGAAAAAAGUUCAAGUCGAAUUGAUUGGAAGCUAAUAUGAUAAUGUGGUAAUAUAACAAUUAGCAGAAGUCUCAUGAACUCCCUCGUAUUCGGGCCUGUGUAAAAGAUCUUUCUGACUUUGUCCCACCCACUUGUACCGGGCCGUGAUCGAGUCAUGCUCCUGCAGGUCUGUGAACUCCGACAAGGGGUCUGGUAUUCCGAGACUUUCACGUUCGGCGUCCUCCUUGGCCCAUAUGUACCUCUUCCCCUCGUAACCAUGGCUUCCGAGGCGGUGGGGAGGCGUGUUCCUGGCCUGGAGCACCUUCAUUUUCUCUGACUUUGCCUUGACUUCUUCUUUUCCGCAAUUCUCCUUAAAUUUUACAAAGUCCUCUGCCGUUAUUGUUGGAUUAUCAGCACGAAUCUUGGGCCACGGUUCAUUCUUCGCAAUCGCUUUUUUCACCAGAACAUUCCAGGAGCACAAGUCGUUGGUGAACGUCACCAUCGCGUUGUCGCUUAUCUUUGUCAUGGUGACGUCGUCCCACAACUCUUUAUAUUUGCCUUCCUCCCGAUCGGGGAACAGGAACCUAUUGUGCAACUUCUUUAGGAGCAUGUGCUCCAUAUGUGGUAUCUACUUCAACCUCUCGUCGUUGAUAUUGGCGGUUUCCCUGAGGAUGCAUCCAUGUUGGCUGCCCUAGCACGAGCGCGCUUCCUCCAGCAUCGUUGGCUCUAACUUCUUGGGGUGCAUCUCUGUAACCACAAUUUGUCUGAUGCCAAGCUCGUUUGGUCUUCGCGUCCUCUUCUUCUUUGGUGCUUUACCGGCUACGACAACAUCGUUGCCGGUCUCGGGUGUGGUGUCGGUGCCGGUGCCAGUGCCGGUGUCAGGGUUGGGGCCACUCCCGCCACCAUGCAACCCUAUCUGGUGUUCGUCCAGGUAAUCGAAAUAGUUAUGUGCUGCCUCAAUGGGGUCUGCGAGGCGAGCAGACCACCCACGACUUCGGCGUUGGUGGACAUGUUUCCUAUUCAACAAUUGUAAAUAAAAGAUAUAAUGAAGAGAAAAAAGGGCCUAUAUUUGGUCGGUAUGUUCAUUCCCCUUCCGGGAAAUCCCGGGUACUCCAUAUGUCCUAGUUUCUAGCAUGAAAUUUUUGCCACGACAUUUGCUAAGAACUAGACAUAUGGAACGCCUGAAAUUUGCCAGAACAGAAAUGAAUCAACAUUCAGGCAAAACAUAGGCCAAUCGGAUAUUUUUUGGCAUUCAACCAACAUUGCAAAACCAACAUAUAACAUCAAUGACAUAUAUCAUUCAAGCAAAAGCAUGCUUGUACUUAAAUACACAAAAAUGACAAAAAUAGCACAAACUUGCUCAAACUUGCUCCUAGGGUUCAUACAUAGCUAACUUACCCAAAAUUUUGCUAAAUUUGCUACUGUUUUUUUUAUUUGGUACUGUUUUUAUACUUAAUUUUUUUGCUACUGUUUUUUUAAAUUACUAUUGUUUUUGUAAACUUUGCUACUGUUUUCUAAAUUCUUUUGCUAUUGUUUUUUAAAUUCUUUUGCUACUGUUUUUUAUACCUAAUUUUUUGCUAACUUUCUACAAAAAUUUGCUAACUAGCUAAUAUUUGCUACAAAAAUUUAGUAACUUGCUAAUAAAACAAAAAACAAAAAUUUGUUAAUUAGCUACUGCCCUAAUUUGCUACUUUUCUAACUUGCUAAAAAAUUCCUAACUUUGCUAACUUUACUAAAUUUGCCCUGAAAUUUGCUAACUUUGCUACUGCAUUUGCUAACUUUGCUCAAAAUUUCCCCUAAAUUGAAAACCUAGAUGGGGACGAGGGGGAGGAGGAGGUCGGAGGGGGAGAGGGAGGUGGGGGCAGUACCUGAGGAGGAGGACGGGGCCGGAGGGGACAAGGAGGAGUAGGAGGCCGGAGCGGACGAGGAGGAGGUCUGAGCGGCGGCGGCGCGGAAGAGAAGGAGGUCAGAGCGGCGCGGACGAGGACGAGGAGGAGGCCGGCGGCAAGGCCGAGUGCGGGCAGGGGCGACGGGUCGGCGUCAUGGUCCAGGUCGAGGGGGGACGGCCGGCGGGGCGGGCAGCGCGGGCGAUGACAGCAGAGGAGUGGGAGAGGUGGGAAGUAGGGCGAAUGGGGACUUUGCAAAAUUUUGAGUCCGUGCGGGCAAUGGUUAACUCAAAAUAGCAGUACCGCUGGUUUAGCUAUAGCGUUGGUUCAGCGCUACUGCUAAGUUUUUCAAUUUUACUUUUUUUAUUUCUAAAAUACAAGUAGCAGUAGCGCUGGGUUAGGAACAACGCUAUAGCUAACUUAGCUAUAGCGCUGGUUCCCUAAACCAGGGCUACUGCUAAGUUUUCCAAUUUUAUUUUUUUAUUUCUAAAAUACAAGUAGCAGUAGCGCUGGGUUAGGAAAAAGCACUAUAGCUAACAUUUCUUUUCUUUUUAUUAUUUUCUGUUUACUUCUUUUUUUUCUUUUGUAUUGCUUUAUCCCUUUUCUUUUCUGUUUACUUUCCUUUUCCUUUGUAUUGCUUUAUCGCUUUUCUUUUCUGUUUACUUUUCUUUUCUUUUGUAUCGCUUUAUCCCUACGGCGUCUCCCUCCCACACUGCACUGAUAUCACCGGAUGCAUGCAUGUAAUUGAAGGGAGAUGCGAUUACAUUAUUUGACCGAUAACGGUUACUUAAGUGCGUACACAAAAUAGAUAAAUAUAUAUAAAUGUAGGUUUGUGAUCAACUGCGUCGACAAUGUUUCACAUUAAGCUUCUUCCCUUUCUUGUUCGUUGCCGAGUAAUUGAGCCCCUCCUUGUGUCUUUUCCGGAGCCAUGGAGUAUGAUCUUUCUUAGGUAAUCUAGUCUUGAUUCUUCGUUUCACGUAUGCUUCAUCAUCAUCGUCAUCUUCCCUCAUCGGGUUGCCGUAUUGGUCGUAGUCUUCUUCAUUGGCGACUCCAUCCAUUCCAACGAUGCACCUUUUGGAUCUCCUCACGACAACACGGCUGGGAUUUCCUGGGUCGGUUAUGAAGAAGCAUUGUCUCACGUGCUUAGCGUAUACCCAUGGCUCAUUUUUGGCGAUGACGUUAAUGUUCACGGGAGAGCUCUUCGCGUCGGGUAUAGACAAGGUGGUGAAAUACAUGUUUUCUCUUACGAUUCCUUGGCCCAUCUGACACGGAACAUCGUCGCAUCGUGCAUUCCAGCAUAGUACAGCUCCAAGAUCUCUUCGACCCAUCCGUAGAAUCUUUUAGUUGUGUCGUUGGCGUUAGUCACGCAUUGAAUUAUCACCCUGGAGUUUUGGUAAUCACUGUCCAUGCCUUUGGCCUCCGUGUAGAACAUGUAUCCAUUGAUAUCGUAGGACUGAUAGGUCGCGAGCUUGGGCGCGGGGCCAUGUGCUAAGGCGUGUAUGAGCAAUCUGUCCGAACUGCCCUCUUCCGGGGGAUUUUUAAGAACUUGCUCUUCGAACCAACACAAGAAAGUGGCGUUGUGCUCUACAAUAAAUUCGUCGUCUGUCUUGAGCAUCCCCUUAUCACGGUACUUCUUUGCGAUGCUUUCUUUGUGCCGUGCCACAUAAUCAUCUACCACAUCUAGGUGUUGUAGCACUACUAAGUUAGCCCUGUCAAAGUCGUUCCAUAGAUCCAAGUAGUCCACAUGCAAUUCCCUCGGGCCGUUGUUGUGACCAUCUCCUUCGAGCUUCCCAUUGUGCUUCUUGACAAGCAAACCAACAACAGGGUCUCCGACCCUUAUAUAAUUCUCGAAGAAGGAGACGCACUCAUGCAUCAGAUACCCCUGGACGAUGCUCCCUUCGGGACGGGACUUGUUACGAACGAAUCCUUUGAUGACCCCAUUCAUCCUCUUCAACGGUAUUAUGAUGUGAAGGAAUGUCGGCCCGAGGUCGACGAUGUCAUCCACGAUGUGGACACAGAGAUGCACCAUGAUGUCAAAGAACGCGGGCGGGAAGUACAUCUGAAGCUCACAUAGUAUGACAACAAUCUCUUCCUGUAGCCUUUGGAGCUGCUUCACACUUAUGGGCUUUCGAGAGAUAAUGUCGAAGAAGUUGCAGUGACCAGUAAGCGUGUCACGGACGUGCUUGUCCAUUAUCUCUCUAAUGGCAACUGGGAGUAUCUGCGUCAUCAUCACGUGACAGUCAUGAGACUUCAUCCCGCUGAACCUUUUCUUCUUGGGGUCUAGAAAUCUGCUUAUCUUCCCAGAGUAACUGGAACUGACUUUGAUUCCCAUAAGGCACUUGAUGAAUUGAUCGAUCUCCUUCGCACUUAAGGUGAAGCAAGAAGGGGGGCAAUAAUUCUCCUCCUUCUUGUUAACUUUUCUGCCCCUUUUCCCCUCCUCCAUCUCCGUCUUUGUCUCCUCCAUGAACUUUUUACGGUGGAGAUCUUUCCUGAUCUUCAAAUCUUCCAAGUCUUUCCUUGCCUCCGGGCCAUCUUUUGUCUUCUCCGGCAUCUUCAUCAGUGUGCCAAGCAAGCCCUCGAGGACAUUCUUCGUGAUAUGCAUUUGAUCAAGGCAAUGAGGCGUGUCGUGAUUGGGCCAGUACUCCAAGUCCCAGAAAAUAGACCUCGUUUUCCAUACCUUCAGCAGCGGCUCUGACGCCUUUCUGAUCUUUCCAGGGGCGGGGCAUUCUUCCCAGUUUCUCAAUAGCUCAUCGAUUUUGGCGCCGCUCCUCUUACGUGGAGGUCCUCGAAGCUCAGCCAACCCAUUGAAUAGAUCUCCAUGCUUUCUCCACAGGUCAUCCUUCUUGAGCCAUCUAUGAUGCCCCAUGUACAUGGUUUUCCCGGAUACGCCCUCUUUCGUUGACGUAAGCUGCUGAGAAGUUUUAUGAUCCAUGCACCUCCUGCAUCCGCAGUAUCCGUGGCACACCUGGCCUGGGGUGUACGCGUAAUCGAGAUAGUCUUGCACCGUCGUCAUCAGCGUGGCUCUCAUAUGGAAAUACUCUCCUUUGCUGGUGUCCCAUGUCCAUGCCGGUGAUUUCCAUAACGUGUCUAGCUCCUCUUGCAGAAGCCCCAUAUACAGGUUAAUACUAUUUCCCGGUUGUUUCGGCCCUUGAAUCAGCAUGCACAUGUGUCUGUACUUUUGUCCUCAUGCACUUCCAUGGGAGAGGUUGUACAUCCAUACAAACACGGGCCAUGUGCUAUGGUUGGUGCUCCAGUUUCCAAACCGAUUCAUGCCAUCGGUACUCGCACCAAGCACGAUGUUCCUUGGAUCUUUUGCAGCAAAUCCAUACAUGGCGUUGAAUGCUCUCCACUGGCUACCAUCUACGAGGUGUCUUAGCCUCGUAUCAUCUCCAUCGUUGGGCUUCUUUCUCUCCGCAUGCCAGUGCAUGAGUUUUGCUUCCUUAGGAUCUAUGAAAUACCCCUACAGACGCGGAGUGAUCGAAAGUACCAUACAACUUUCUGAGGAGCUUUCUUUCCUUCCUUCUUGUAUCGAGAAGCAUUGCACACUGGAUAGCUGGUUUUUCCGCGUGCUCCCCCAGAUCAAUGAUGUAAUCGAUGAUGCAUGCGUGGUACCUAAUGUGUGGCAAAUCAAAAGGGCAAAUGAUUUUCUUGGCCUCCUCGACACUAGUAGGACACAUGUUCCCAGUGGGAAGAACUUUAUUAUGUAGAUACUUCAAAUGCGCAUCGAGGCUUUUGUCUGUCCAUUUGAUUUUGGCCUUCGUCUUUAGAAGUACGAGCAUGAAACUCAAGCGGGUCACCUUGGGAUCGCAACCGUCAUACAGUGGAGUCCUCGAGUCUACUUAAAGUUGCACCAGCUUAGCCUCCUCUCUAUAAGCAUCUCUCUCGCUAGUCGAACUCUUGCGAAGGAGGUCUUAAACGUGAGGAUCCUGCACGACUGCACUCAGUAGCGUCGAAGACAGUGUGACCGCCACCUCUUCUCCGCCAUGUCCGGACUCUUCUUCACCGUGUCCAGAAUCUUCUCCGCUGCCGUCACUUCCGGACUCUUCCCCGCCGCCAUGUCCGGCGCCACCGUCUUCAUGUUGAUGGGUCAUCUCUUCGUCUAGCCCCAUGUCUUUAUUACCUACCAUGUGGACAUCCUCAUCAUCAUCAUCUUCUUCACUUAUCCACUGAGUAUAGCCAUCCAUGAAACCAUUCAUCAGCAGGUGCGCCUUCAAAGUGACACGAUCAAAAGGGUCCAAAAGGACUCCUUCCUUGCCCCUUGCAUCUUGCACGCAGACAUAUAAUCCUAGUCCAAUUAUUUGCGUACAUGUCCAUCACCGCGGAUUGCAUGUACCGCUCCACCUUCCGUCAACUCACCUUCAUGACCGACUGCACGGUAUAAAAAGCAACAGGGUUAUAAAAUAAAUAAUGCAUGCAUGCUUCAAAGUCAUAUAAAAUUUUGGCAUGACCUUGCCUAAAAAUAGGACAUAUUGGGUUUGCUCGAAAUUCACCGAAAGAGAAAUAAAUCGACAUUUUAGCAAAACAUAAGCAACUCGAUGGCACGUCACACUCGCACAAAUCUCUCCAUAUCAAACACAUUUGAACACAUUUGAAAACGGGAAAAUUGAGAGUUGUACAUGGAACAGAUUUGAAGUUCAUGAAAAAUGUCAUCUUGAUUUUUUUCUUUUGAGCAAUGGAAUUGAAUUUUUGAUGACUAACAUAAUUAGGUCAAAUAAUCAGCUAGAUUUAUACUCUUGGAACUUUGAGGAAAAGUAACUCGAAACAAUGGUAGAGAACACUUCGAAACACUGCCGCUGUGGUUCCUCCAUACUCUCUGUCUCUCCCUCCCUCUUUUUUAUCUCCUACUAUAGGACGUGCGGAGCGGAAAACUGAGUGGCACACAAAUAUUAAAACAUCAAUACAAUGUGUACUAGUCAAUUUGGCCCUUUGUAUGUAGUUGAUCAUAACAAUGACCCAAGAUUGGAUCAAAGUUUUUCUUCUGAAGUAAUAAUAGGCUUCUCUUAGAACUCAUGAUUUACAAGUUGCACCAUAUUUGAACUUCCUCCUGGCUUUCUACGGAUCAUCUUGAAGAAGUCCUUAUUAGCCUUUUUAUUUGGAAUACAAACAUCAUACAUGUCUAGAACACAAAAACUCUGGUUGCCUUUUUCCUACUACGAACAGAUACUACAAUCACAAAACUCCAUAGAAUUGUUGCAUUUGUUUCUCAUACCUUUCUCUUGGGCCAAUAAACAAAAUAUUUAUUUCAAGAGUUCAAUCUUGUCUUAGACCUGCAAGGUAAGAUGUCGGCACUGAAUACACACACUAUACAACACACAUUCAAAGUAAAGAUGCAAGUAAAAAAGAACAUAUAUAUCUUGAUGCCUAAAUAAUAAUAAUUAUGGGUAUGGCAACAUCUAGUAUAUUUUUUCAAACAAAACUAAUCAAUCUUAAUUUUGCUUAUACAGUGGGAAACUAUUUCAAAUAUAACUUGCAUAUUAUUUCAUAUCUUAUUUAGUCUCAGGCUCCAAAAGAUCAUGGGAUAAAUAACUCAUGAUUGUAUAAUUCAUGCAAAAAUCAGUAUAAAUAAGGUGAAGAAUUUGCACUACCCAAAUCUAAAAGGAGUACAUGUCAAUCUCUGGAGGCAUGAGAUGUAGAUGGUAUGUACAUAAAUAUAGACUAAACCAACAUGUGUCACAGGUGAUUAUGACGAAGAUCGAACAGCUGCCGCCGGGUAGAUACUAAAAAUAAAUGAUGGAACAGGAUGAUAGUCAAAGCUGGGUUCGAGAACUACAGGAUUAGGGAGACCUUGAGACGCUGGAUAUAGGAGCGUAUACAUGUAUACUCAGACAGGAAUUUCAAAACGAUGCAAGACUACAUCAACCUCUCAUCCAAACAAGAAAUUCUGCUAUGUGCAAAUCCCUUCUUCUCCUUCCACUCUUCUUCCUCCCACUCAUCUUCACUUGUUGUGCCUGACCAUAAUGAGGCCGAGCACCUGCAACGUCGGAGAGGUAGUUACUAAGAUUGCCGGGAUUCUGCUACACAUUCUGCAGUAUUUGCCAAGCAUGAAGUCGGGGUGCUCGCAGUAAGCACACGUGAUGGGGUGGAAGCGAUCUUACUCGAGCGGUCCGACCCACUAAUUUUAGUAGUUUUAUGAAAUUAUCUCAGUUAAAUUGAGAGUAUCCAAUGAAACUUGAGGGAGAAAAAUGAAGAUAUGUGACCUAGUGAUAGUCCGCUCGCCUAACCUCUUGGUGGAAUUUACUAUUGUGGUUAUAAAUAGUUGCAAAUUUGAUAACAAUAUAAUCUAGCAGUUGCUAUGAAAACUCUAUGAGGGCAAACUACCAACCAACACUACCAACCAACAUAUAAUCUAGCAUUCCAGCAUAGUACAGCUCCCAGAUCUCUUCGACCCUUCCGUAGAAUCUUUCAGAUGUGUCGUUGGCAUUGGUCACGCAUUGAAUUGUCACCCCGGAGUUCUGGUAAUAACUGUCCAUGUCUUUGGCCUCCGUGUAGAACGUGUACCCAUUGAUACCGUAGGACUGAUAGGUCGCGAGCUUGGGCGCGGGGCCAUGUGCUAAGGCGUGUAUGAGCAAUCCGUCCGAACUGCCCUCUUCCGGGGGAUUUUUAAGAACUUGCUCUUUGAACCAACGCAAGAAAGUGGCGUUGUGCUCUACAAUAACUUCGCCGUCUGUCUUGAGCAUCCCCUUAUCAUGGUACUUCUUUGCAAUGCUUUCUUUGUGCCGUGCCACAUAAUCAUCUACCACAUCUAGGUGUUGUAGCACUACUAAGUUAGCCCUGUCAAAGUCGUUUCAUCGAUCCGAGUAGUCCACGUGCAAUUCCCUCCGGUUCUUGAUAGGCAAACCAACAACAGGUUCUCCGACCCUUAUAUAAUUCUCGAAGAAGGAGACGCACUCAAGCGUCAGAUACCCCUGGACGAUGCUCCCUUUGAGAUGGGACUUGUUACAAAUGAAUCCUUUGAUGACCCCAUUCAUUCUCUUGAAAGACAUUAUGCUAUGAAGGAAUGUUGGCCCGAGGUCGACGAUGUUAAAGAACGCAGACAAACAGAUGCACCAUGACAUUAAAGAACGUGGGCGGGAAGUACAUCUCAAGCUCACAUAGUAUGACAACGAUCUCUUGUUGUAGCCUUCGGAGCUGCUUCACACUUAUGGACUUUCGAGAGAUAACGUCGAAGAAGUUGCAGUGACCAGUAAUCGUGUCACGGAUGUGCUUGUCUAUUAUCUCUCUAAUGGCAACCGGGAGUAUCUGCUUCAUCAUCACGUGACAGUCAUGAGACUUCAUCCCGCUGAACCUUUUCUUCUUGGGGUCUAGAAAUCUGCUUAUCUUCCCACAGUAACCGGAAUGGACUUUGAUUCCCAUAAGGCACUUGAUGAAUUGAUCGAUCUCCUUCGCACUUAAGGUGAAGCAAGAAGGGGGGCAAUAAUUCUCCUCCUUCUUGUUGACUUUUCUGCCCCUUUCCCCCUCCUCCGUCUCCAUCUUUGUCUCCUCCAUCAACUUUUUAUGGUGGAGAUCUUUCCUGAUCUUCAAAUCUUCCAAGUCUUCCUUGCCUUCGGCCCAUCCUUUGUCUUCUCCGGCAUGUUCAUCAGUGUGCCAAGCAAGCCCUCGAGGACAUUCUUCGUGAUAUGCAUUUGAUCAAGGCAAUGAGGCGUGUCGUGAUUGGGCCAGUACUCCAAGUCCAAGAAAACAGACCUCGUUUUCCAUACCUUCAGCAGCGGCUCCGACGCCUUUUUGAUCUUUCCCGGCGCGGGGCAUUCUUCCCAGUUUCUCAACAGCUCAUCGAUUUUGGCGCCGCUCCUCUUACGUGGAGGUCCUCGAAGCUAAGCCAACCCAUUGAAUAGAUCUCCACACUUUCUCCAUAGGUCAUCCUUCUUGAGCCAUCUAUGAUGCCCCGGAUACGCCAUCUUUUUUUGACAUAAGCUGCUGAGACAUUUUAUCAUCCAUGCACCUCGUGCAUCUACAGUAUUCGUGGAACACCUGGCCUGGGGUGUACCCGUAACUGAGAUAGUCGUGCACCAUCAUCAUCAGUGCGGCUCUCAUAUGGAAAUACUCUCCUUUGCUGGUGUCCCAUGUCCAUGCCGGUGAUUUCCAUAAUGUUUCUAGCUCCUCUUGCAGAAGCCCCAUAUACAGGUUAAUACUAUUUCUCGGUUGUUUUGGCCCUUGAAUCAGCGUGCACAUGUGUUUGUACUUUUGUCUUCAUGCACCUCCAUGGGGGAGGUUGUACAUCCAUACAAACACGGGCCAUUUGUUAUGGUUGGUGCUCUGGUUUCCAAACCGAUUCAUGCCAUCGGUACUCGCACCAAGCACGAUGUUCCAUGGAUCUUAUGCAGCAAAUCCAUACUUGCUGUUGAAUGUUCUCCACUGGCUACCAUCUACAAGGUGUCUCAGCCUCGGAUCAUCUCCAUCGUUGGUCUUCUUCCUCUCCGCGUGCCAGCGCAUGAGCUUUGCUUCCUUAGGAUCUACGAAAUACCGCUGCAGACGGGGAGUGAUCGAAAGGUACCAUACAAAUUUCUGAGGAGCUUUCUUUCCUUCCUUCUUGUAUCGAGAAGCAUUGGACACUGGACAGCUGGUUUUUCCACGUGCCCCCCAAAUAAAUGAUGUAAUCGUUGAUGCAUGCGUGGUACCUAAUGUGCGGCAAAUCAAAAUGGAAAAUGAAUUUCAUGGCCUCCUCGACACUAGUAGGACACAUGUUCGCCGUAGGAAGAACUUUAUUAUGUAGAUACUUGAAAUGCUCAUCAAGGCUUUUGUCUGUCUAUUUGUUUUUGGCCUUCGUCUUUAGAAGUUCGACCGUAAAACUCAAGCAGGUCACCUUGGGAUCGCAACCGUCAUACAAUGGAGUCCUCGAGUCUACUUAAAGUUGCGCCAGCUUGGCCUCCUCUCUAGAGGAAGCCCUCUCACUAGUCGUACUCUUGCGAAGGAGGUCUUAAACAUGAGGGUCCUGCACAACUGCACUUAGUAGCAUCGAAGACUGCGGUGUGACCGCCGCCUCUUCUCCGCCAUGUCCGGACUCUUCUUCGCCGUGUCCGGAAUCUUCUCCACCGCCAUCAUUUCCGGACUCUUCCCCGCCGCCAUGUCCGGUGCCAUCGUCUUCGUGUCGAUCGGUCAUCUCUUCGUCUAGCCCCAUGUCGUUAUUCCCUGCCAUCUGGACAUCCUCAUCAUCAUCAUCUUCUUCUUCACUUAUCCACUGAGUAUAGCCAUCCAUGAAACCAUUCAUCAGCAGGUGCGCCUUCAAAGUGCCACGAUCAAAAGGGUCCAAAAGGACUCCUUCCUUGCCCGUUGCAUCUUGCACACGGACAUCUAAUCCUAGUCCGAUUAUUUGCAUACAUGUCCAUCACCGUGGAUUGCAUGUACCGCUCCAGCUUCCAUCCACUCACCUUCAUGACCAAUUGCACGGUAUAACAGGCAAAAGGGUUAUAAAAUAAAUAAUGCAUGCAUGCUUCAAAGUCAUAUAAAAUUUUGGCAUGACCUUGCCUAAAAAUAGGAGAUAUUGGGUUUGCUCGAAAUUCACCGAAACGGAAAUAAAUCGAUAUUUCAGCAAAACAUAAGCAACUCGAGGGCAUGUCACACUCGCACAAAUAUCUCCAUGUAUAUAUGCCAAACACACGUAUUCUCAUUCACACACAUAUUCCCAUUCUUGAAAUGAACAACUUUUUUACUCACCUAUAUAUCUCCCGAGAGAGACCGAUCGAGAGAGCACGCGGUUAAUUAGAUGAUGAGAGAGACCGAUCGAGAGAGCAUGCGUGGAUGGCUAAUUAGCUAGCUAGAUCUAGUUGUUGGGGAGGAGAGGUGAAUCUAGCUAGUUAACUAAUGGAGAUGGAGUUAUGGUGGAGGGGCAUUAAUGGGGAGAGGAAGAGAGGUAGGAGAAACAAAGAUGUGAGAGAGGCCAUUAAUGAGGAGAGUUGAGAGGGACAUUAAUGAGGAGGGAAGAGAGGUACAAGGAAGAGAGAAGAAGAGCAACAAUGGUGGAGAGUAGAGGGGGAAAGGAGGGGGAGAGAGGGCAAAGUGGGGGAGAGGAGGGGGAGGGGUGAAAAGGUGGCACCAGCCGCAACUAGUAGUAGCGUUGCUUACCAAAAUGCGCUGCUGCUACCGUACUUAGUAGCAGUGCUUUCCUACAGAAGCGCUACUACUAAGUGGGACCCAUUAGCAGUAGCGGCGCAGUAAAAUACAACACUACUACUAAAAUGUUAGUAGUAGCGCUGGAUUCUGCACAGCGCUGGUACUACAGCUACCGUCGGUGGCCUCGUCUGGUCCACAUAGUAGUAGCGCGUUUUUGGUUUCCAACGCUACUGCUAUAGACAGAAUAGUAGCGCUUCCCUGGAUCGGCGCUACUGCUAACUAGUAGCAGCGUUCACUAUUUUCCAGCGCUACUGCUAACUAGUAGCUGCUAACUUGUAUAAGCAUUUCCCUAGUAGUGUUAAUUUGAUUGACAGAUUGCACUUCUGGUUUCUACAGCUAGUUCUAACUAAUGAUUGAAAAAUAUAUCUACCUUAACUCUAGACAACUACAACACAUUGUCACUGCCUAACAGUGAUGAACCCUAGUGAUUCAAAUAAAAAAAUUACAAUGGCAGUGACCUAUAGCAAAAGAGGGAGGGAUGAUAUGCGCACCUGGGUUGGAGCCGAGGGUUUCCUACAGUCUACUCUGUCGCCGUCAUCAUCUCCUGGUUUCGUCGCUGAAACCCUAGCAGAUGAGAGUGGGAGGCACAGAUGCAAAACACACCUCUAAUUAAAAAAAUUCCAAAUGGACCAGAUGAGAGUGGGAAGCUCAGAUGUGUACCUCCAGACUGGAGAACGACGACAAUCGCCGGAAUCAGCCAAAAUCAAAGCGGCACGACCAGCGGCGAGAGAAGGAGAGAAAAGGGAACGAAACAGAGCAGCGGGUCAUAUAGAGGGAGUAGGUUGAGGGGGUCGUUGCCCCCGUUGGUUUUGACCCCCAUGGCAUUCUAAUACUAUUUGGGCUUGCCCAAUAAGAAAAAAGAUCACCACCUAAAAAUUGUCAACUCAAAACUAUAUAUUUCUGGUCUUAAACUAAAAAGGAAAAAAAGUAAAUUUAACAAAAGUAACUAUAAUAUACUAUUAAAAAGAUCAUUAUUUCCAUUUAAAAUAAUAGAAAUGUCAUUAUUAAUAAAAUGUCAUUAUUAAUAAAAUGUACAUAUUAAUAAAAUGUCAUUAUUUCCAUUUAAAAUAAUAGAAAUUUCAUAAAAGUAAACUAUAAUAUACUAUAAAAAAGAUCACCACACAAAAAACUAAAAAGAAACAAAUUUUGAUGUGUCAAACUACAUAUUUGAAGGCUCAAUACUAUAUAUUUUAAGUCUUAAACUAAAAAGGAAAAAAUAUUAAAGUCUCAAAAUACAUAUUUAAAAACAUGUCAUUAUUUCCAUUUAAAAUGAUAAAAUUUUAAUAGAAGUAAACUAUAAUAUAAUAUAAAAAAGUUCACCACAAAAAAACCUAAAAAGAAAAAAUAAAUUGGAAGUGUGAAACUACAUAUUUGAAGGCUCAAAACUAUAUAUUUCAAGUACUAACUGAAAAGGAAAAACGUAAAUUUAAAAUCUUAAGUACAUAUUUUUAAAAAUGUCAUUAUUUCUAUUUAAAAUAAUUGAAAAUUAAUAAAAGUAAACUAUAAUAUACUAUAAAAAAGUAUAUACCAAAAAAUAGUAAUAUAAGAAUGUUCGCAUUGACAAAAUAACAAUACCGGCGUCGGUUAUAACAGCACGCCGCAACUAAAUAUAAUAGUGUUGGCAUUCCAUGAUAUUCCACGACAGCAAUAUAUUACGUCUGGUACAAAUUGUUGAUCUCAUGUAUUUCUGACACUGCCUUGUUUUGGAACGCCACCACUAUGCCCCUAUUAAUGUCGUACCAAAUCAGCCAACGCCAUCACUAUUUGAAAACAGAUAGUGGUGGCGUUGGUUGUAAUGGAGCGCCACUAACGAAAGUUGUGGCUAGCCCUUUUUCCACUAGUGAAGAUUGAGGGAGGCUGUUAGAUAAUGUUUAUGCAUAGCUUUCGUGUAGACACUUUAUAAUGGGAUAGCCACUCCCGUAUUGGGUGUCGUGCAGUUUCCCACAAACAUAACGUUUUACAAUCCUGAGAGGCCAUCCAAGGGAGUCCGUCGUAGGUUGAUGCCGUUUUUACCCUCUCUAACUAAACCUAAAGUGGCGAAGUUGCUAGCAUGUCGCCAUGUCCUUGCACUAGAGAAGGUAGUUGGGGUCUAGACGAUCGUCUUGGAGAUGGACUGAAAGAUGGUUGUGAGCAAGCUCAACUCUGAAGGGAAGGACGGCUCACCCCAUGGCCCGGCGGUUGAAGAUGUGAAGGGCAUGCUAGCUCCAAACUUUUAUUGAGUCCAAGAUCACUUGGGUUCAUGGAGUGAUGAAUUGUAUUGCCUACGUCUUAACUAAUGAACAUUGUCGGAAUGAGUUGUGAAAAACAUCGCUUAGUGUGCCUCCGAAUUGUACUAGCGCCAUUUGAACUCUGGCAUUGCCGAGAACUCUGAAUACAAUGGCAACCAUUCUAUCUAAAAAAUGAUUCCUUACAGGUAUCUUUUGCCUUAUCAAUAAAUCGAGUAUAAAAAAUUCAGUUUAAAUUAGAAGCAAGGUGAUUACCAACAUACUUAUUUUAUUCCUUAUCUAUAUCUUAAAGCAUGGCUAUAAUAAGAUGAUAUACUUUUCGUCAAAAAGUUGCUAGUAUUACUUUUAAUUGACUAGGGAACUAAAUCAUGACUACGACUACCUCUGUCCUGAUUUAUUAGGGCUCCUUGUAGUUUGGGUCAAACUUUGAAAUUUAAUUUAACUAUUAGAAGAAUAAGUUAUAUACUCUAAGAAUAGUAUCACUGAAAUCCUCUUUCGAAUAUGAAUCCAACAAUAUAUGUUUUGUCACAUACAACUUAUAAUUUGUUAGUCAAAUCUACAGUCAAAGUUGGACACAAAAUAUGAAAGGGACCAAUAAACCCGGACGGAUGUAAUAGUAGUAGUAGUACUCCCUCCGAAACAAAUAAAUGCACUACCAAAUGCUCCCUCCGUCCCGAAAUACUUGUCGGAGAAAUGGAUAUAUCUAGAUGUAUUUUAGUUCUAGAUACAUCAUUUUUUAUGCAUUUCUACGACAAGUAUUUCCGGAUGGAGGGAAUAGUAAGUGUAUAUUUGUUUCUAAAUAUGAAAAUAUUACUAUUAAAUACUACUAUACCAAAGAUAUAAGAAUAUUAAAUACUAGUAUACCAAAGAUACACAUAAAUAUAAGAAUAUUUAAUAGUAUUAUAUGGAAGAUAUUCUAUAGUUAAAUCUAUUUACUCUGUUCCAAAAUAUAAGAAUAUUACUAUAAAAUACUAUUAGCUGUUUUCAAAUAAUUAGUAAUAGAGAUAAUAUUCUUUAGUAGUGAUAUAUCUUUAUUCCUCAUUAAAUAUAAGAAUAUUACUAGUAUUAAAUACUAGAAUCCCAAAGAUAUAUCUAAUAGUAUACCAAAAGAUAUACAACAAUUAAAUAAUAUUACCUCUGUUCCAAAAUAUAAGAAUGUUACUACUACCUCCGUCUCGAAAUAGUUGUCACCAAAAUGAAUAAAGGAGGAUGUAUCUAGAUGUAUUUUAGUUCUAGAUACAUCUUUUUCUAUCUGUUUUGAUCACAACUAUUUUUGGAUGGAGGAAGUAUUAAAUACUGUCACAGCUAUUCUUAUAUUUAGUAACAGAGAUAAUAGUAUUUAAUAGUAGUAUAUCAUUGUUCCUAAAUACUCCCUCCGUUCCAAAAUUCUUGUCUUAUAUUUGUCUAGAUACGGAUGUAUCUGAUACUAAAAUGUAACUAGAUACAUCCGUAUUUAGACAAAUCAAAGACAAGAACUUUGGGACGGUGGGAGUAUAAGAAUAUUACUAUUAAAUACUAGUAUACAAAUAUAUAUUUAGUACUAUACCAAAAUAUAAGAAUAUUUAAUGGAAAUAUACCAAAGAUAUGCUACUAUUAAAUGCUGGUAUUAAAUAAAUAAAUUUGUAGUUCAACACGCGGUCCCCACCUUGGCCCGUGCCUUCCGUUUCAAUUCAUAAAGGGCAACACAUGCUUCGCCUCCCCUCUCACAUUCUUCUCAUCCCGCUCACCUCAACCAACUCCGCGCGUCUGUUCGACCGAUCCUCCGCGAUGUCUAGCUCCGGCGUCAGUGCCAUACCCGCAGCCAACCACGAGGAGCACAGCUUGGCAGCCCCCGCCCCGCCCCCCGCGGUUGCGGUCGCCCAGGGGAAAGGGAAGAUGCUUGCGCAACAGGCGCCUGCGCCGGUGGUUCGCAAGCGCAAGCCUGGGAGACCCCAGGAGAAAAGCCCACCCCCAGCGGCCACCAGAGAGGAGCUGGAAUCCAGGGAGUCCCGGGAAGGACCCUUGAACGUGCUUGCGCUCCCGGCGCCAGGGGCCCCGCCUGCUUAUGCUGUCUCAGACUACAAGAUGGUGAGUCGCACUCGCGCCCCCACACGGCGUGCAACCGCUGUAUCCGAAGACAAGAUGGUGAGCCGCGCUCGCUCCUCCCCCCUCUGCUACUAGUGAUUUGAAGUUAACUGGUGCCUAAUGAGCUGGAGUUAUUGACAAUCUUUAAUCUAGUCAUGUGAAUUAGUACUAGUGCUUAAUGAACUACCUGAUGUGUAUGUGCAAGAAUUACGUGCUGGGUAUAUGUCCUUGGACAUUCUAAUCGUUGCGAUCUCAUCUGGCAGAUGGACAGGAAUGAGAUGGCGCUGGUGGUUCGCAGGCGCAAGCCCGGGAGACCCCAGGAGAAAAGCCCGCCCCCAGCAGCCACCAGAGAGGAGCUGGAAUCCCGGGCUUGCGCUCCCGGCGCCAGGGGCCCCACGUACUCACGCUGUCUCGCACUCGCGCCCCCACCCGGCAUGCAAACGUUGUCUCCGACGACAAGAUGGUGAGCCGUGAUCGCGCCCCCACCCUGCAUGCAAACCGUGUCUCCGAUGACAAGAUGGUGAGCCGCAGUCGCUUCCCCCUCUCCUACUAGUGAUUUGAAGUUAACCGGUGCCUAAUGAUUUGAAAUUACUGACAAUCUUUAAUCCAGUCAUGUGAAUUGUACUAGUGCUUACUGAAUUACCUGAUGUGUAUGUGCAUGAACUACGUGGUGUGUACAUGUCCUUGGAUUUUCUAAUCGCUGCGGUCUCAUCUGGCAGAUGGACAAGAACGAGAUGGUGCCGGUCCAGGGGGUGCCGCGCAUGCGGGGGAGCAUCGCGUCGUCAAGUGCGGUUGGUAAGUAUACUUUAUGCUGCUUUUUUUUGUCAACAUCGUCUCCAUGCAGGCUACACUGGGAAAGAAGCUGCUUAACUCUUGUGCAUGCUGGUUUUUUUUCAUCACUAGUAUACUGGUAUUGGACUGGAGCUUGAUAGCUCUGUCCAUGCUGGGCCUUUUUGUCAUCAUUAGUAUUGUUAUAUAUUAGCUGAAGCUGCACAUGUUUUCUUUCCAUUGACGUUGGUGCGGGCGGUGCUACGCGUCAGUCGGCCGAUGGAUGGACGCCUUACUCACCUGAUUUUAAUCAAGUCCCACCUAGGUGUAAUUUGUUUUGUCACUAGCUGUGUAUACAUAGGCGAGCUCCAGCACUGCAUUGCAGCGUGGAAAACAUAUGAACUGUAAUAAGAAACAUGCAGUGGCUAGAAACAUCUCCACAUAUUUUUUCAACACGUUUUAGGUGUCAACGAAAUUAGUCGGAUCGCCAGCCAUCGAAUUGACACAUGGAGCAUUGGAUCACAAUACAUGGCAGCAGGGAGAAUGGAAACCGUGUUCCUCCAUAGCCUCCACAAUACAUAUGUAUCCACCACCCCUCCCACAUCGUCGCAACAGACAAUUACGUCGGCCCCUUCCAACACCUCGCUUUGGUACCCUAGAGAUCCCUGAUGUCGCAUGGAUAUCCUGCAAGUAUUAUUACAGUGCGCCAAUGAGGCGUCAUCCUUGCAACAUUGUCUUACAGACAAUGUAGUUGAUGCCACCACCACCAUCACCCAUUUACACAUGGGCCGUCGCAUGUGGCACUGUUCGUGGGAUAAAACACACCCCGCGAGAAUACGCGGUUGCACCACUGCGAUCUAUGCAACUUAGGAAUUGUUGUGACUGCCCCUGCAAAACUAGCGAUGAUACGGCCAUCGCCCUGCAACAUUGGCCAUAGUUGUAGCACAUCUGAGAAGACGGAUGCCGCACCUAACAACACAGUAUGUGUUUUUUGCACCAUAAGGAAGCACUGCCUUGCAACAUCGGCUAUCAGGGUGCUGCACUGACAAACACACUCACGACCUUGAGAUGUCGUAUGCCUUGGCCGAUGUAGCAUAGUGCUCCUCUUUCAGCAUAUAGCGAUGGCUUGUAGCAUUGAUGGUCGGAGAGUCGCAGCAUCGUUGAGUGGCAGUGCUAGCCCAUCUCAUUGUCAUAGAGAAGGGGGAAUAAAGGAUGGGUGUGCACGUGGUGGAAAUAAAGCGAAUGGAUAUGGUGAAGAGAGAGGAAGACUAACAAGGGGCAUCUGGCGCUAGAGCGAGCUGACUGAUUUCCCCCUGAAACCAGCCUGUUGAAUAUAAUUCAAUUUUCUUUUGAGAGACCUCAUAAAAACGUCGCAACAUGCGAGCAUGUCUAUACAAAAAAUUGUAGAUAUACAACACACACUCAUUAGCUGCAACAAAUCAGUGAAAAACACAAUGUAUAUAGGCCUGAACCGAUGGAUCAUCAGCAUGCAUCUGCCAGCUCUUCCUAGGUUACGCCCAACCGUGAGUCGUUCAAUUGGGUCACACAUCACUACCCAAUCAACCACCAACUUAGUUGUUCCUCUCGUCUCCUCUACCCACCCUUGGCAACAUACACCCAUGAUUCUCAGCAAUAGACCAACAUGGAGGCGACAAUGGUGGCCAUGAUAGGCUAGUGAAAAGCACACUGGUUGGUCAACCUUACAACACUAAACAGAAACAUUGCAACAUGAGGUAACCCCAACUUUGUAGCACUGGUGCACCAUUUUCAACCACCUUGUAGCAAUGAAAAGUUCACUGACCAAUAGAAUUGCUGCACCAAGUUACUGGCUUCCAGCACUGAACACCCGGGCUUGUAGCACCACGAUGAUCGAUGGUCGGCCUUUCAACAGUAUUAGUUAACAUUGCACACCUCGUCUCCAUUUUUAUGUACAUACACAUGAGUGACCUUGGAACAUCAGUAACGUGUCAACAUUAUCAAACUUGAAGACGAUAAAUUUGUUUCUCCAAGCAUCGACAUUACUGAAUAAGCGUGCAACUGCACAUCCACCACAUGAGCCAUAAUUUUUUAGCCCUGCGACAACAGCUUAUAGUUGCAAAAGAGCUGACGAUGAUGGUUUAGAAUGUAUAUGAUCAAAAUAGAUUAAAUGGAGGGGAGGGUGGACUACCUAUGUUGAAUCAGACUAGCCACAAGGUCACAAGUGCCUUGUCUAAAUAGCCAAAAAGACAAAAGGAGGCCUCCUGGAUUCUCCAUCCUGAAGCUAAGCAUAACUCCAACUCCAGACACGCUAGGGGGCUACUAAAGGUGCAAUACGGUAGGGGUGUCUUCUGGGUGGGAAGCCUGGUAGCAGGCCUGCCUUAGGACCCAAGAGGCCAAGUGGAGGAUCGGUGCAGUAGGGCAGCUCAGGAGCCCAGAUAAGGACUAUGAGAGCAUCUUGGCAGGCAAGCUAAGAUGGCAGUGGUAUGAGAUCUGAUGGAUUCCUUGUAAACCUAGCCCUUGCCACCUAUAUAAGGAGGGGCUCGGGGUUGUCAUUCACAUAUACUCUCAUAGACUAUACUCUCUGUAGCAUUAUACUUCAUCUCCACUCUAAACCCCUCGCACAAGGUGCUCCACCAUGAAUAAAAAUCAGAUACAGGAAGUUGGGCAUUACCUCUCACCGAGGGCCGGAACCAAGGUAAAAACCUUUGUGUGAACUCCCUUGUCAUGGAUCCCUACAAGUUCACCACCCUACUAUGGUACUCACGGUUUUACAUACUAUCACAUAGUUAAGUUCUGACACAUUUUCUCUGGGGAGUUGAAACAACUCAUGGUGUAAGUAGGUGUUGCUUGAAGCACUGAUUCUACUAGCACCUCCUUUCCCGCCUUCGAGAUACCUUGUCCUUCCUAUCCAACCACUUUGCCAUUUGAGCUUUCUUUAAGAUGUUUAAAAUUUCCCUCCUUUGACCUACCCACCACGGUUGGGAGCCCCAAAUAAUGCUCGCUCAAUGCCUUAGGAUCUGUGCAAAGAUAUUUACAACAACUUACUCCUCCUAUUUGCCUCACUUCCCAAAGAAUGUUGAGGCUUUUUGAAAAUUUCCCAUUUGUCCCGAGGCCCACUCGUAGUCAAUGAGGAUAUAUUUAAGGUUACAAAGUUGCCAUUUGACGGUUGAAGAAAUACUAUACUAUCAUCUGCAGAAAUAAGAUGGACUACAUGGGGGUUAGUGCUCCCAAAAGAUAUACCAUUGAUCUCUUUAUCUUUGAGCACUCAUGAGAAAGGCCAAAAAACUCGCAACAUAGAAAAUAAAAAAAAAAUAGGGAGACCAUGGGUCUCCUUGCCAAAGCCCUCUUCAUAGUAUAAAAAAAUACAAAACACACUCCUUUCAAUUUGAUAGAAAACCUGGCCGGGGUACCACACAUCAUAAUCAUCAAGAUCAACCUAUCUGAGAAACCAAGUGCCCUCAUCAUCAGAUCGAGGAAAAUCCAAACCACCCUCUUAUAGGCCUUCAUCCUGUAUAGUUUAAUUGCAAACAUUGGAUUUUUCUAUUUCUUGAAUGUACUUUGCUCCUGUGUGAUCAUUAUGGAUAGGACAACCUUCAAUCUCUUUGCUAGGCCUUUGAAGCAAUCUGACUGAGCGUGUUCAAUAAGUUGAUUGAUCCCAUUUGAGGAAGUAUCUCCAUUUAGGUAAUUUUGGGGAUUAGGACUAGAACCAUAUCACUAAAGUUUGGUGAAAUAACUCCAUUAAAAGAAUCAUUUAUUACUAUGCGUACAUCAUUUUUUAGAAAUAACUAGUGAAAUUGGUAAACAUAAGUGAGAGGUUGUCUUGCCCCUGUGCUCCAGUCAAAUUUAGAAUAGUGCAUUCUCAAUUUCUUCAUCCAUCACGUCUGUUUUCACCCUCUCCUCCAUAUCACUAGUCACACAGGGUCGGAUGUGAGCUAAGAUGUUGUCAGCAUCAGCAGAGGCUUCUGAAGAAAACAACUAAGCAUAGAAAUCGGCUGAAAUCUUCCCCAUCUCAUUGUCAGUAGUACAACUCGUGCCAUCCGCCCUCAUGUUUUGAUCGUCUUUCUUGAGAAAUUCCAGUAGGGAACAUUGCAUACACAUUAUUUGUUCCUGUGCACGAACCACAUGAAGCUAGGCUUCAAUCUCACUGGUCUUCAGCGAGGAUGUCUGGAUCCCAAUGAUCUACCCUUUCCAUCGAAGCUGGACCUUGUGCCUAGUUAUCUCACAACAUACCAGACAAAAUACAAAGCCACUUCAAUAUUUCAUAUCAUUGGUGACAUUGUUAUGCUUCCUGUAGAGCUCACUCUGGCCGGAAUUGUUAUCACAUGCACACUAUCAUGCCUCCAUCCAUGGGCAUCCACCUCUCCUCAAACGUUAAUGCCCUCUUCUUACUUUUGGUAAUGACUAGGUUUUCUAGCGCUCUAUUAACGAGCAAACCAUGGUCUCGUCCUCCAUGACAACAUGUUCAAUGGUUGUAUCCUACAAUGAAUGCACGACUUCAUCAUUGCAUGGACCCCUGUCCACAUGUACAUAAAGGAUCUCAUCCCGCUCCCUCUUAUUGUCCCAAGUGUACAGGUUGCUAGUAAAACAAAGUUUUGAAACACUAUUAUUGGCUACACUCUCCCUAAUGCGCUCCAUUUGUGUGAAACUCCUCAAGUAAUCUCCUAGUUGUUGUGAUUAAAAGAAUUCUUUGUUGAGCUAUCAUUGUAACAGAUAAAUGUAUUAUUAGGAUCCAGUCUCUCGGAGCCUCCCUUAGCUACACAAAUUUUCUUCAAUCUCUCUUCCUAUCAAUUAGCUUUAGGUUAUAAUCAUUGUGAUGCCUUUGGUAGUCACCAUCACCUUGCCUCAUCCUAUGAACAAAAGUGCCUCAUCUGCGUUGCUCUGAGGUAGAUGGUCAUCUUUCCCAAUGGCCUUGCACCCUUUCCCAUAUAGAUUUUUUUAUGUCUUGCUUCCUUUCAUGCUCCUUUCUCAUGUCCCACUUCCUUUUUAGAUUUAAAUCAUCCCUUAGUUCACAAUCAUGUCACAGAUCUUGCCUGCAUUGGUCCUCCCUGCACUUCAUCUUAGACAGUGACCCUCUACAAGACCAUCUCGAGGAUCCUCGUAGAGAGAGAGUCCACAGAGGGUGUAUAAUCAUUGUAUGACCUGCACGUAAAUGGACGGACAUGCAACGCUACAUGACCCAUCGCCCAUAGACGCCCUUGCUUGACCUAGUGCUCCCAAAACUAAAGUUCAUGCUUUCUUUCACCGGCCUCUACUUUGUUUUUGUCUGUGAGGAGCCAUGUCCAAGUUAUGCCCUCAACCAUUCACCCAACUAGGGUGAGGAAUCAUUUUGUGGUUCAAAUCAUCCGUCAACAUGUGCUAGUCUGUCGUAGUCAAUCCAAAAGAGAGGUAUCUUUACAAAUUGAAAAUCAAACAAGGUCCCCUCAUCUUUUGCUGAAGAGUGGAGAAAGAAGCCUCAGACUAGUGAAAGAAAUAUGAAAAUUCUAGCUCUAGGUCUGAGAUGGUUCCCCCAUAAAUCCAUCCUUCCUAACAUCACUCUUUACCACGCCACCAAGACAAUUCCCUAGAGCAUUCCCAAAAGUAUAUGAUCAUUUAUAUAGGGGAGGAUCUAUAAUUAUCACCCAUGGCUCCGUCAUACAAAACAUUAUCUUCGAUGACCUAGUUUCUUCAUCAUAAUCCUUCAAAAGUAUCGCAUUAAAACCAAAUUGCCACAUUCAAUUAUAUAGAGCGUGCUUUUAGACUCCUUUGUUAUGGAAUCUAAAGAACAAGAUAUUAUUUCUAAUGUGACUUAUUUGGGCUUCCUAGUAUAGUCCCAUGUAUGUUGCAUAGCCCUAGCAAACACGUUGAUGUUGAUUUGCUGGAGUGACCAUGCCUUUCCAACCACUGACCACCGAGUAGGCCUCGGUAGGUCUGGAAUCCUGAUCCUCAAACAUGAGAUCUAUUAGUUACUUUUGUUGUCAAGUUCAGGGCUCCUUGUUAAUUUGGUUGAGAGUUUAGCUGCCUCCCCUGAAGCAUUUCCAUCUGUCAGGGACUUUUGAAGGUUCUCAUCUUAACGAUCCUUGGUCACCAUGUUCACUUGAGCUGUCGAUUUACGCCACGCCUUCUCUCCCAUCAUCGCGCAAAGGAGUGGAAGCACCAAGACCAAUCAAUGUAGGAGUAUACAGUGUCAUCACCUCAUAGAUGAAUAAAAACCUAACCCUAGCACUACUUGUCGGUCGCCUAUAAUCGCCCUUAGUAUUUCUUUUCAUGUUGGGCCCGCCACUAGGUAUUUAUACCUGUGCUUCCAUUGGUACUUUUUUUGCGCUGGAGCCUUUCUGCUACAUUUGCCUUUCUACAAAGGCGGUCUUAUCCAAAUCAUAUAGUCUCCUCUAUCUAUAGGAAGCGAGGACAUUAGCUCUUCUUUUUUUCAAGGCAAAUACACUUGCUAGUGUUCAAGCGACAUCUAAAGAAGUCUUGUCACAUGUGAAGACGAGGCUAAGAGUGUGACACAUAUAGGUGCCAACUUGAAGAAUAAUGCAAAUUUCAGUAAAUAUGAAUAGCUCCAGGGGAACGAGCGCACAAAGGAAUCAGCCACCAUAUAUGGAUCAUUUCCAAAGAAACAAAGUCACAAAGAGAGAGACAAGACAUUAGCUUCUUUAUGGGGAACACAUACAUUUAAAUGUUGCCUUGCUCUCUGAUUAUUAACAAGAAAUAAUUUUUACUAAUAUAUUAUGUGUAAAUCUUGAUAGAUAUGGAAUGUAUUUUGGUCAGUAUGUUUUAAGGAAUCAUAUUAGUUUUUGGUAUGUUGAAAUUAGAAGAAGUUCAUGUGCCUUCAAGGCAUGUCAAGGUGUGUUGUUCCACCUCAAAAUUGGUACAUACUAAAUGGUUAUUCUCCCUACAUAUAGCCCCAAUUCUCAUGCUCUCUCUCUCUAUCUAUCUAUCUAUCUAUCUAUCUAUCUAUCUAUCUCUCUCUCUCUCUACAUUUUAUAUUCCAGACUACUCCAUAAAGCCUAAUUGGUGAAGGUCCAUAAACACCCAGCAAUGAUGGGUUCAACUCCCAUUAGUAGUAUAUACUUAGUGGAGGAGAAACAAGCCAAGCCCGCCAAUGGUGAAUAAAUCAGAAAAGAAAAUCAGGCCAUGCCCAAUCCAAAUCCGGCACCUGCCAACAAUGUGUAGUCUCCACUACUCGAACCUACUUUUCCUCAGUGUGUUACAUCAUGUGAUGUUUGGAGAAGCCAUAGAGUUGGGGAUCCAAAUAUAGAUAACAACAAUGGGGAGUGGCUUGAAGAAUAGGAGCCAAGAAGCCGGACGGACAAGGCCUCCACCAUGCUGUACCAUUGGCCGAUACUGACCCGUAUGGUGCAAGGACCGACGCAGAACUGAACACCGUCAUCAUCUAGGUUGCAAAGGAAGUUGGACCACUGUGUUUCUUCUCUCGGACAAACUCAAUGAUUUCAUGCAGUUGGCACCCACGCCACAUUCCACAGAGAUAACAACAUUGAGGAGGAGGAGGAGGGGCAACGCAAGGUUUCUUCCUCAUAGGAAUUACUUUCGAGGAAGUGAGGGGACGGUAUGGCAUGAUGAGUAGUUAACAAGGGAAGUUUGCAUGACUGCGGCGGACAAAUCAUGAAGACAAGUGUGCUAGUAGCUAGAUAAGGGAUGAAUGAUAGCAGGAAGGAAUAAUGAGCUUACUGGGUGAGGCUACUAUUUUUUAAGUUGCGACCUACUGAUCAUAACAACAAUUGAUCGUAACAACGUACCAUUGAUGAUAUAGGGUAUUGAUUUAGUAACUGUUACGAUGUGACUAGGGCUUGUAAGCGGUGGGUUGUAUAUUACUAACAAGUAGCAUGUUUAGCCUCGAUAUUGUCCUCUGUCACUCGUAACAACGUACCAUUGACGGACCCCGUCACUACUACCUUUUUCCAACAAAAAUAGAAUUUUAGUUAUAGUAAGAUUCACAACAAUCCCGCCGGCCAUCAGUGCUAAGUUGCCUGCUGACGGGUUUUUUGACCCACCACUUUUGAUCGAUAACUAGGCGAGAACUCUAGUCUGGUGCACAUUUGUUUUGUUCAGAAUUUUUAGUGUUUUUAUGUGUACAAAGACAUAUAUUUCAACCCUAACAGGUUCUCUUUAGGUGGGGUCGAGAGUGAAGGACUGGGGAGCUUGGAAGCAGGGGAAAUGGCACCUCGAGGGGUUCAGGUCUCUAUGAUCAAUAACCACAAUUUUGAUCUGAAUGAGCUGCCGACUGAGCAUGAGUAGCUCAGGAAGGAGUAGUCACCUCUGGAGCAAGAGUAGCCUCCUAUGGCACAACAUGAGGUUUAAUAUUCACAAUGGUUGGAGGCUACUCAAAUCCCUCUUGUGUGAGCAAAGUUAACUCUUGGACCAAAGUGUAGCCCUGUUAGAAAUUAUCGAAACAAUAUCAUUAUCCCAAGGACGAUUGUAAAGCUUAUGUGGAACUUUUGAAUUUCUCGCUUCCUAUUUUUUGUUGAUUUACUGACGCUAUUGCUGAACUUGAGGGAAGGACUUGGUAUACUGCUUCAUGAUCAACGUGUCAACUGGAAAUGGCUUUUCUAUUCAUUUCCCGUGAUGGUUUUGAUAUGUGGAUUGUUUGAACAAGCAGGUGUUCAUUCGGUAAAGCUUUGUGAAACAACAACGGUGGAGCUAGGUCUCUGGUCAUGUGAAAUGACAGUAGGUCAAGAAGUGUGUUGGAUCAUGAGAUAACAUAUUUUCUAAGUUGUUAAUCAUGUGUGUUAACACCAUGGGUAGUAUGAGAGAAGGUCAACAUGCAUGUUUGGGUCUGAAAUGACCUCAUGACCAAAAAAGGGAGAGAAACAUGGCUAAUAGGAAUACGAACGAUAUGGAAGUUAGUUGUUGCAUGGAUGUUAACUGUGGUUAUGAAGCCACACAAGAUGUCAGAGGACCCGCAUCCUUACAUAUCAAGGUUGACUUCACAUGCCAACUGGAUUUCGUCUAAAUUAUUGUAUAUGUAUGUAUGUUAUAUCUUGAAAUCUUACCAAACAAAAAACACCAAAAAAUACACUAUUUACUUCUCUUUGAUGCAUAUUCUAGUUGGAGGGUAAUCAAAACCUUAUGUGGAUAUUUGUCCACAAUAGAAUAUACAAUGGUCUAGUGAGGCAAGGUGUAAAUGGAUAGGACAAUAAUCGAACAUGAAAACAUCCAACAUUGUGUUAUAGUUGCAUCAAGUUGUCUAGUGAGUCAAUAUGGAAAUGGAGGAGGCUCAUAGGGCAACACGAGAACACCCAACAUGUAGCUCUACUUACUUCCUAUUGGUACGAAGAGACCAAGACUAGUGAACGGUUAACCAUAACACAUGGACAAGAUAUCUCAUACAAGAUGAAAAUGGAGUGUGUCUUGUAUGAAAAUGCUAACAAAGUAUGAGUGUGUAUGGCAUGCCAUCCCCUCCCUUUCUUGUUCGAGUUUACUUCACCAACCCCAUAGUACCCUGAUCAACACUAUUAUUUGGAUAUGCUUCUCAUCUGAGAAAGAAUAGUUAUUGAGAGACAUUUAUAUCAUUGUCUAGAUAGACUUGUUCAAGGGGCAAUAAUGGAGGUGUCUUAUCUAUUAUAGCCACAUUCCAGAGAAGAAUAAAAAAAGUAGACACAACCUGAUAAUUUAUUGAGAUUUGAAUUGAGGAUUCCACAUACAUCAACUAUCCUACAUGUGAAUCAAAUCCACAUCCUACAUGGGCAUUGGGCUUUAGUUGGACUACCACUUUAUGGACAAGCCAUGUGCUCCAUGUAGUCUUUAUUGCAAAGGCGGGAGAACAGGGAGCAAAUAGUUUUCGAUGGCUGGACAUUGAAGUUAUUUGUCAAGAAAUUUGUUUCCUGACAUGGUUUGUUUAUUUCAUUGUUUAGUAUUUGAUAUCGGUUCAAUGCUCUAGUAUGUAACCUUCUUCUCACAUUUUGGGUCUAGCUCUUGGUGUUCAUGAGUUCAUUACUUAUGUUAACUAUUAUUGUUGUGCCCACUUGUUCACAAGAGACUAUAAAGUUAACUAAGAUACUCCCGUAUUUAUAUUAAUAUAGUUGGCACUAAGGUAAUCAUCAACCUUGAAUAUUACUCAUAUUUGUCAAAUAGGAGGUCAAGCUGGAUCUGUCUGGCGCAUCAUCUAUGGUCACAUAUGGUGUAUUGUCUAUUCUAAACCCAAUGAGUAUUGCAGAAUGACAUGUGCCUGCGGGGAGGAAUGAGUCACUGUUUUGGGUCAAGGGGUGAUGCCAUGCCUCAUAAUUGACAAUAAAAAAUUAACCACCUACAUAAAAAGUCUAACCCAAGACAGGGAAUAUGCACCAUUGCAAUUUUACUGCACAAAGUCAUCGGUAUUUUGCAAUUGAAUGUUCCCCAUGUUGUGACUGAGAACACAAAACACAAAACACCCCACAAAACACUAUUCACUUCUCCUCGAUGCAUAUUCUAGUGGAAGGGUAGUCAUAACCAUAUGGGAAUAUUUUACCACAAUAGAAUCUAUAAUGGUCUAGUGAGGCAAGGUGUAAAUGGAGAGGAUAAUAGGCGAACAUGGAAACAACCAACAUUGUGUUGUACUUUCAUCUAGUUGUAUAGUGAGAUAAUAAGGAAACGGAGGAGGCUCAUAGGGCAACAUGAGAACGCCCAACAUGUUGCUCUACUUACUUCCUAUUGUUACCAAGGGACUGAGACUCGAGCAUGGUUAAUCAUAACACAUGGACAAGAUCUCUCAUACUAGUUGAUAAUAGAAUGAAUCUUGUAUGAUAAUGCUAACAAAGUAUGAGUGUGGAUAACAUGCCAUCUCCUCCCUUUCUUGUUGUAUUUUCCUUCACCAACCCCCAUAGUACCCUGAUCAACACUAUUAAUUCGAUAUGCUUCACAUCUGAGUUAGAAUUGUGAUUGGGAAUAGUUGUAUCAUUAUCUAAGUAGACUUAUUUAAGGGGAAAUAAUGGACAUGUCUUAUCUAUUAUAGCCACAUUCCGGAUAGGAAUAAAAAAAUUGACAUAACAAGAUAAUUUGUUGAGAUUUGAAUCGAAAAUUCAACAUACAUCAACUAUGCUACAUGUAAAUCAAAUCCUCAUCCUACAUCGGCAUUCGGCUUUAUUUGGACAACCACUUUAUGGACAAGCCGUGUGGUCCAUGUGGUCUACGUCACAAAGGCCAUAGGACAAGGAGAAAAUAGUUGUCGAUGAUUGGUGAUUGAAGUUAUUUGUCAAGAAAUUUUCCCCCCAACAUGGUUCAUUUAAUUCAUUAUUUAGUAUUUGAUAUCGGUUCUAUGCUCUAAUGUGUAACCUUCUUCUCACGAUUUGGGUCUAGCUGUCAGUGGUCAUGAGUUCAUUACUUAUGUUAACUACUAUUGUUGUGUCCACUUGUUCGCAAGAGACUAUAAAGUUAACUUAUAUCCUCCCGUAUUUAUAUUAAUAUAGUUGGUGGUUAGGUAAUCCUUGACCUUGAAUAUUACUCACAUUUUUCAAAUAGGAGGCCAAGCUGGAACUGUCUAGUGCAUCAUCUAUUGUCACAUAUGGUGUAUUGCCUAUUCUAAACCCAAUGAGUAUUACAUUAUGGCAUGUGCCUGCAAGGAGGAAUGAGUUACUCUUUUAUGUCAAGGGGAGACGGCAUGCCUAAUAAUUGUCAAUGAAAAAUUAAUAGUCUACAUCAAAAGUCUAACCCAAGAAAGUGAAUAUGUGCCAUUGUAAUUUUACAACACUAAGGGCCUGUUCUGAUCUUGUCCCGCUCCACGCUUCACAAAUUCCUGGAGCAGAUACGAGCCGAAUGAAAUAGCAGCGAGAAGCUAGCUCCAGGAAGCUAGGAUCGACCGCAAUGCAAAAUCAUGAAGCAGACUCGGCCCAGCUCCACCGAUCUGGAAAGCUGAAGUUAGCCCAUAUUACAAGUGAACUGCCACAGCCAAAUCAUACAAGCCGAACCGGUAUGCUCGAUCUGUUUGAUUGCUCCUCGUUCCCUCGCUCGUGCUCCCUCACUGCUCCUCUACAAGGCCGAUUUGGGUUGCCUCCAAUCAACCCAACUAGCUCGAUUAGGCCACAACCCUUCUAGCUGGGUUGCAGUGCCGCGAGAAGCUACAAACCGAGCGUAACAGAUUUUUCAUCGCUGCUUGGAGUGAGAAGCUACUCUGAAAAGUUGAAUUUCUUAAGUUUUGGGAAGCUAGAGGAGAUCAUAACAGGCCCUAAGUCAUCGGUAUUUCAUAAUUGAAUGUUCUCCAUGUCGUGACGUUUGAUGGUGUAAACCCAAAUAAUCGCCAUUGUGAAAUUAAAUUCCUCCCGUGAGUCGAACCCACAUCCAUAAAGAUGUGCCACUAAAAUCCACCUCUAGGCUAUCUUGGAGUCCUUAAUAUAAUCAAGUGCGCCCAAUAUGGUGACUUAAUAUGUACUUAUUGACCCUACGAAGCUAAUCACCUCCAUCAAGACCCCUUCCUGGUUCUCCUAUAACUAGAUUUCCCGAAACCACGAGAAUCCUUAGAAUGGGAUUACAACUUAGCACCUUUCGUUUUCACAUAGUAAGAAGAGUUGCUCCUUGGAUAGCAUGGUACGAUCAAAGGUGUAACCUGUGUUUCGGAGGGAGUUAUUGUCUCGAAACUUUGUUCUCAGCUAUUCCGAUUCCAGCAAACGGAGGCCAUUGGGUCAAAGCUGUACUGCACGCCCUGUAGUUUUCAAGUGGGGUGAGACAACUUUAGCUAGGAACCAAUUUUCAUUCUGACUAGCUCCCUGAAAACAAUGUUCGACUUCAUGUGUAGUCGGUGUAGAUGUGUCAUUGCAAUUCCACCACUAGGAUAUCAACAAGUCCUAUGUAUUACAUGACAACAUAUGCCACCAUAUGGUGACUUGAUAAAUUAAAUGGAUUUCACCAAGCUUUCGUGUUACAAUUAUAGUGAAGAUAGUGACUCACAUGUCAGCCUCCCUGACGGGAAGCAAAAUCACUCUGACUUUGGCAACCUAAUUUUUGGUGGAUUCAAGCAAACAUGUUGGAUUUGUAUUUUAUUUAUUUCAACAUAUAUAAUUCAUAUAAAUAAAUCAAUUCAUAAUAGGUGUCUUGGAGACACCCAUGUCAAUAAUGUGAAAUUAUGGGAAAUCUUAUUAUGUGCAUCAACAUAAGCCAAAACUCGUGGCUUAAGAGAUAUGUGUACAAUCUUCGAAUGGUUAUUCCCCCUACUAAAUUCAUGAUGUUAGCUAGUUCCCAGAAGUUGAGAAAGAAGUUUAGUCAUGGGAUCAAUGUCCAGGUGCAUCAUAUUUCCAGUCCCAAAAAAAUUUGUUAUGGAAGUUGAGAAAGAAGUUUGGGCAACAUAUUUCUAGACACCUGUCAUGUCUAGGAUCUUCUCAAGCCUAGGUAAGCUUAGUCAUGGGAUCAAUGCAGGCUAUUAGUACAUUGACCUGGUUCUUAAUUCAAGUCCUCCUUGCUUGAUACAAUAUUGAAUGGAAAGUACAUAAUCAAUUUACUUAAGUGGGUGAACAAUGUUGGCUAGUAUAUUUCAACACUCACCUCACAUGCAUCUUUUAGAGGCAUAUAAUGCAUCGUGAUGGAAACAUUUUUUCUAUAGACUAAAUUUCAAUGGAAAAUUUUAAUUAAUUUAAUUAGUAGCAAUCUCGUAUCGCAAGGAUAUAUGGCAAAUGAAAAUGAGGGCUCAAAUGCUACUUGUUGGCACACAAAAGUCAAGUUGUCUUUUUCCUCCCAUGUUGAUCCUCCGUGGUUCGACAUUGGGCAUUACAAAGAGAUCAAGUUAUGUUUACACACCGCUAGAGCUACCAGACCCUGGAUGUUCCACCAUGAAUGUCCAUAUGGUGCAAUGAGUGAUAGCGAGGUAUAUUAGAACAUAUAGUUUACACCGUUAAAGUAAUUAAAUCGGCUAUUUUUCCUACUAUGAAAAAUAGUAUUUUAAGAGAAAACUAUAUAAGAGUUUGUGAUCUUUGUAUGUAAAAGCAUUAUUUUCCUUUGCUUGGUGUUCACGCAGUUUGUUUUAUGGCAAAAAUGGAAAAUCAUGGGACAAUAAUUGUUGAUAUUUUUUGCCGGAAAGCGAGAUCUUUUCACUUUUCAGAUCACACAAAGUAUUGUUUUUCUUAUAGGGGUGAUAUACAGUGUUCUAAAUCUGCACUUGUGAUUCGUUGUCCAUUUAAAUCUGGUUUCUUCCACAGAUUAUGUUGGUUUGUUGUUGUAUUUAUCUCAGCACUAAAGUAUACUGAUGUUAGCUAAGUCCAAUCAAAGGCCCGUGUUUUUAUCAUGUUAUACAAAUUAGUAAGCUAAGAUCUUACCAAACUCAAGUUACAUAAGCCCAGACUACGUGAAAUACACAUCAUGCAGUACACAUGUUCAUCUUAGUGUUAUGUUAUACUUGGCUCCGAGAUAACAAAUGGUAUCAAUUAUUACUAUCUUUUGCAGCUUGUUUCUGCCUGUUCAUCGUAGAAUUAUCUUAUGUGGUCUCCCAAGGUUCAUACAACUUGGAUUUUUCAUACUUUGGUAGUAUUAGUGUUCACUAGGACUAGGUGCCACUCUGCAGAAGCUGAGGAUACAGAUGGAGAAAGUAGUCAUGGUUUUUUUUUUCAAAAAGUUUGUUCAUAUCUAUAAGAGGUUUAUGAAUUUUCAGUGUAUAGUGUUGUGAAACCUAGAGUGUUUUAUCUCAUUUAACAUUGAACUACGCUUUCAAGGAAAAACCUUCAUUUGACAUCGAACUAUGCAUGCAGGGCAAACACCCCGUGCUUCGGUGCCACCGCGCCGCGAACCCUGGGAGCUUGAACCUGGAUGGGUGUGAACUUCAGAUUGAUGUCAAGGUUAGGGGUCAGUCAUGGAUAGAGAAUAAAGGGGACUUUGCAAAACUGUUAUUAAUAAUAUGGAUGAAACAUUGCCUUGUGGAGAGAAUAAGAUAUUUCCAGAGAUAUUUAUAAAUGGAUGCAUACUUGAAAUAGCAGUACAAAAUAUGAUGCUAACAUUUUAUUUUCAUUGUUGUUCCCAUAAAACUUCUGGUGGUGGCUCCAUUAUUCACAGCCUCGCACAUGAAAAUGUUAUUUCGUUCG